rnacentral:rRNA from 1 species
GACGAACGCUGGCGGCGUGCUUAACACAUGCGAGUCGAACGGAAAGGCCCUGCUUUUGUGGGGUGCUCGAGUGGCGAACGGGUGAGUAACACGUGAGUAACCUGCCCUUGACUUUGGGAUAACUUCAGGAAACUGGGGCUAAUACCGGAUAGGAGCUCCUGCUGCAUGGUGGGGGUUGGAAAGUUUCGGCGGUUGGGGAUGGACUCGCGGCUUAUCAGCUUGUUGGUGGGGUAGUGGCUUACCAAGGCUUUGACGGGUAGCAGGCCUGAGAGGGUGACCGGCCACAUUGGGACUGAGAUACGGCCCAGACUCCUACGGGAGGCAGCAGUGGGGAAUAUUGCACAAUGGGCGGAAGCCUGAUGCAGCAACGCCGCGUGCGGGAUGACGGCCUUCGGGUUGUAAACCGCUUUCGCCUGUGACGAAGCGUGAGUGACGGUAAUGGGUAAAGAAGCACCGGCUAACUACGUG